GCUGAGGAGUGAUGACAAUGAAAGGCCGAAUUGCAGUGCCUGUUAACAGUUUUCUCUCUAAAGGCACGAUGACAAAACUCCUGAAGCGACUCUUUCUUCUGACCUCAGC
rnacentral:snoRNA from 1 species